CUGGGUGUAGCUCAGCCUGGUUUCAAGAGCGCUCGGUCCGGAACCGAGGGGCCGCAGGUUCGAAUCCUGCCACCCAGACCA
rnacentral:tRNA from 1 species